rnacentral:rRNA from 1 species
UUCCAGACUCCUACGGGAGGCAGCAGUGGGGAAUAUUGCACAAUGGGGGAAACCCUGAUGCAGCGACGCCGCGUGAGCGAUGAAGUAUUUCGGUAUGUAAAGCUCUCUCAGCAGGGAGGAAAAUGACGGUACCUGACUAAGAAGCCCCGGCUAACUACGUGCCAGCAGCCGCGGUAAUACGUAGGGGGCAAGCGUUAUCCGGAUUUACUGGGUGUAAAGGGAGCGUAGACGGCUGUGCAAGCCAGAUGUGAAAGCCCGGGGCUCAACCCCGGGACUGCAUUUGGAACUGCGUGGCUUGAGUGUCGGAGAGGCAGGCGGAAUUCCUAGUGUAGCGGUGAAAUGCGUAGAUAUAUGGAGGAACACCGGUGGCGAAAGCGGCUCUCUGGCCUGUAACUGACACUGAGGCUCGAAAGCGUGGGGAGCAAACAGGAUUAGAUACCCGCGUAG